GGAGAAGUGACAGAAGUAAGUGUGUUUAGCUUGAAACUAAAAGGAUGGGGGUAUGGAUUCCUCCCUUCUCUU
rnacentral:tRNA from 1 species